UAGAUGGAUGUUACCCAGAUUGCCCCCAU
rnacentral:piRNA from 1 species